rnacentral:rRNA from 1 species
UACGUAGGGUGCAAGCGUUGUCCGGAAUCAUUGGGCGUAAAGCGCACGUAGGCGGCUUUCUAAGUCAGGGGUGAAAUCCUGGAGCUCAACUCCAGAACUGCCUUUGAUACUGGAGAGCUUGAGUCCGGGAGAGGUGAGUGGAACUCCGAGUGUAGAGGUGAAAUUCGUAGAUAUUGGGAAGAACACCAGUGGCGAAGGCGGCUCUCUGGACCGUAACUGACGCUGAGGCGCGAAAGCGUGGGGAGCAAACAGG